UACGAAGGGGACUAGCGUUGUUCGGAUUUACUGGGCGUAAAGCGCGCGCAGGCGGCCCGCGAGGUGUCCUGUGAAAGCCCCGUGCUCAACGCGGGAGGGUCAGGGCAAACCGGCGGGCUUGAGGCCGGUAGAGGUGGGUGGAACUCCUGGUGGAGUGGUGAAAUGCGUAGAGAUCAGGAAGAACACCCGUGGCGAAGGCGGCCCACUGGGCCGGACCUGACGCUGAGGCGCGAAGGCGUGGGGAGCGAACGGG
rnacentral:rRNA from 1 species